rnacentral:rRNA from 1 species
GACGAACGCUGGCGGCGUGCUUAACACAUGCAAGUCGAACGGAAAGGCCCUGCUUUUGUGGGGUGCUCGAGUGGCGAACGGGUGAGUAACACGUGAGUAACCUGCCCUUGACUUUGGGAUAACUUCAGGAAACUGGGGCUAUACCCGGUAAGGGGCCCCGCUGGAAGGUGGGGGGUGGGAAAUUUUGGCGGUUGGGGAUGGGCUCGCGGCUUAUCAGCUUGUUGGUGGGGUAGUGGCUUACCAAGGCUUUGACGGGUAGCCGGCCUGAGAGGGUGACCGGCCACAUUGGGACUGAGAUACGGCCCAGACUCCUACGGGAGGCAGCAGUGGGGAAUAUUGCACAAUGGGCGGAAGCCUGAUGCAGCAACGCCGCGUGCGGGAUGACGGCCUUCGGGUUGUAAACCGCUUUCGCCUGUGACGAAGCGUGAGUGACGGUAAUGGGUAAAGAAGCACCGGCUAACUACGUG